rnacentral:tRNA from 2 species
GGGUGUAUAGCUCAGUUGGUAGAGCAGGAAAUAAUUCCAAGUCCCAGGUUCGAUUCCUGGUUUUCCG